rnacentral:tRNA from 1 species
GGAGGAGUAGCGAAGGGGCUAAACGCGGCGGGCUGUAAAACCGCUCUCUCUGAGUUCGGCGGUUCGAAUCCACCCUCCUCCA